rnacentral:rRNA from 1 species
GAUUAACGCUGGCGGCGUGCAUAACACAUGCAAGUCGAACGAUGAAACUUUAAUGAACCCUUCGGGGAGAAUUAAAGCGGAUUAGUGGCGAACGGGUGAGUAACGCGUGAGUAACCUGCCUUACACAAGGGGAUAGCCUUUGGAAACGAAGAAUAAUACCCUAUAAAACCAUAAAAGCACAUGCAAUUAUGGUCAAAGUGAUAGCGGUGUAAGAUGGACUUGCGUCUGAUUAGCUAGUUGGUGAGAUAAAAGCCCACCAAGGCAACGAUCAGUAGCCGGCUUGAGAGAGCGUACGGCCACAUUGGGACUGAGACACGGCCCAGACUCCUACGGGAGGCAGCAGUGGGGAAUUUUGCACAAUGGGGGAAACCCUGAUGCAGCGACGCCGCGUGAUUUAGAAGGCCUUCGGGUUGUAAAAAUCUUUUGUAUAGGAAGAAAAUGACAGUACUAUACGAAUAAGGUCCGGCUAAUUACGUG